rnacentral:rRNA from 1 species
CUACGGGAGGCUGCAGUGGGGAAUAUUGGACAAUGGGGGAAACCCUGAUCCAGCAAUGCCGCGUGUGUGAAGAAGGCCUGCGGGUUGUAAAGCACUUUCGGUUGGGAGGACUGCUUCUAGCACUAAUAUUGUUGGAAGUUGACGUUACCUUCAGAAGAAGCACCGGCUAACUCCGUGCCAGCAGCCGCGGUAAUAGGGAGGGUGCAAGCGUUAAUCGGAAUUACUGGGCGGAAAGCGCGCGUAGGCGGCUAGAUCAGUCGGGUGUGAAAGCCCCGGGCUUAACCUGGGAACUGCAUCCGAUACUGUCUAGCUUGAGUACAGGAGAGGAGAGUGGAAUUCCACAUGUAGCGGUGAAAUGCGUAGAUAUGUGGAGGAACACCAAUGGCGAAGGCAGCUCUCUGGCCUGAGACUGACGCUGAGGUGCGAAAGCGUGGGGAGCAAACAGGAUUAGAUACCCCAGUAGUC